AGAGGUAUACAUAGGUGUCACCUUGCUGCACCACUUAACUGCAGCUGUCCUUGGAAUGGAAAUGUGGUAAUCUUUUUUGCACCAACAGUUCUACACACAAGCAUUUUAAGAGACAGUGUAAGCCUUAGAAGGAAUUACCAUGCAAAGGUUGCAGUACUUAUCUUGAUCAGUUUUAGAGCAGCCAGCCAAUCCUGAAUAUAUAUAGUUACAGACUGAAUCCUGAUUUCCUCCAGAACAACAAGAAAUGUGCCAAAGAAGACGAGUCCAUCAAUGUUCCAAGCAGCUGAAGACUGAAUGCUACACCAUCUGUUUGAUGAAAUAAAACUACACGUUAACAUGUUUUGAUGAAGUUCAGAUUAAGUGACAAUGCUGACUGAUACUCCCAGAAACUGCUUGUACAACUGUCUCCUAACACUGUAUAUCACCUACACAAUAAGUAAUGGAUCAAUUCACAACAUUUAUCCUACUCCUCAGUUUCUCCAGCAAAGCCUAAAUGAGAGAUUAAUCAGACUUUCUAUCUGUUCUGCCAUUUUUUG